rnacentral:rRNA from 1 species
UACAGAGGGUGCAAGCGUUGUUCGGAAUUACUGGGCGUAAAGCGUGCGCAGGCGGCUAUGCAAGACAGAUGUGAAAUCCCCGGGCUCAACCUGGGAACUGCAUUUGUGACUGCAUGGCUAGAGUACGGUAGAGGGGGAUGGAAUUCCGCGUGUAGCAGUGAAAUGCGUAGAUAUGCGGAGGAACACCGAUGGCGAAGGCAAUCCCCUGGACCUGUACUGACGCUCAUGCACGAAAGCGUGGGGAGCAAACAGG